rfam:Rattus norvegicus chromosome 15, whole genome shotgun sequence.
GGGGAUUUGGCUCAGUGGUAGAGCGCUUGCCUAGCAAGCGCAAGGUCCUGGGUUCAGUCCCCA